rnacentral:rRNA from 1 species
UGGUGGAGUGAUUUGUCUGGUUAAUUCCGUUAACGAACGAGACCUCCGCCUGCUAAAUAGUUCGAUCUGUUUCGGCAGAUUAGAGCUUCUUAGAGGGACAACGGAUGUUUAAUCCGUGGAAGUUGGAGGCAAUAACA